UGAUACUAAGCCAUGCGAGUCAUUGUAGCAAUACAAGGCAUACGGCUCAGUAACGCGUAGUCAACCUAACCUAUGGACGGGAAUAACCUCGGGAAACUGAGAAUAAUGCCCGAUAGAACAUUAUGCCUGGAAUGGUUUAUGUUCCAAAUGAUUUAUCGCCGUAGGAUGGGACUGCGGCCUAUCAGUCUGUUGGUGAGGUAAUGGCCCACCAAGACUAUUACAGGUACGGGCUCUGAGAGGAGUAGCCCGGAGAUGGGUACUGAGACACGGACCCAGGCCCUAUGGGGCGCAGCAGGCGAGAAAACUUUGCAAUGUGCGAAAGCACGACAAGGUUAAUCCGAGUGGUUUCUGCUAAAGGAACCUUUUGUCAGUCCUAGAAACACUGAUGAAUAAGGGGUGGGCAAGUUCUGGUGUCAGCCGCCGCGGUAAAACCAGCACCUCAAGUGGUCAGGAUGAUUAUUGGGCCUAAAGCAUCCGUAGCCGGCUCUGUAAGUUUUCGGUUAAAUCUGUACGCUCAACGUACAGGCUGCCGGGAAUACUGCAAAGCUAGGGAGUGGGAGAGGUAGACGGUACUCGGUAGGAAGGGGUAAAAUCCUUUGAUCUAUUGAUGACCACCUGUGGCGAAGGCGGUCUACCAGAACACGUCCGACGGUGAGGGAUGAAAGCUGGGGGAGCAAACCGGAUUAGAUACCCGGGUAGUCCCAGCUGUAAACCAUGCAAACUCAGUGAUGCAUUGGCUUGUGGCCAAUGCAGUGCUGCAGGGAAGCCGUUAAGUUUGCCGCCUGGGAAGUACGUACGCAAGUAUGAAACUUAAAGGAAUUGGCGGGGGAGCACCACAAGGGGUGAAGCCUGCGGUUCAAUUGG
rnacentral:rRNA from 1 species